rnacentral:rRNA from 1 species
AUGAAGACAACUAAGGGAGGGAAAGUCAUGAAUCCCACCGACGCCUUCCGCAAGGAGCAGCGCAGGAAGGAGCUUAAGCGGAACAAAAAAGAAAGAAAGAAGGUACGGGAGGUUGGCAUUUUGAAAAAGGACCCAGAUGCUAUAAAGGAUCAGAUUGAGAAGUUGGAAAAGAUGAAGGCUGAUGGUGCUCUGGAUAAGGCUAGGAAACAUAAGAAAAGACAGCUUGAGGAUACUUAUAAUCUUGUUGUGAAGAAAAGGAAGGAAUAUGAAGAAAAGAUGAAAGAAAAGGGUGAGCAACCAGUUAUGUUCAGCCAUCUUGGACCACCAAAGAGACGGCCUGCAGCAGACGAAGAUGACAGAGCUAAAAACCCUAUGCCUGAGGAUUCUGUUUACUAUCACCCAACCUUGAACCCAUCUGGGGCACCACCACCUGGCAAACCUCCUAUGUACAAAUCAUCGAUAGGACCAAGGAUUCCACUGCCUUCCUCAGUUGGUGCUGGGGCUUCAUCUUCCAUGACAGAAUCUGAAGAAGCAGGUCCUUCCACCAUGCCCCCUCCUCCACCGCCCCCUCCACUGCCAGCCAAUUCAGAACCUUCAGAUCUAUCUGUCCCUUCUUUACCUUUACCCCCACCACCGCCCCCACCCCCGCCUAAGCCUGCUGGCGCUGUAAUAGCACCAGGCUUACCGCUGCCACCUCCACCUCCUCCUCCUGGUGCACCUCCCAGAGAACCUGUGUUAGAUCAUAUAUUACUGCCACCACCUCCCCCUCCACAGCGGCCUUUGCAACAACCACCUCUACCUGGUACAAAUGAGCUGCUUAAUAAACAAAUUGUUGGAGAGGGUGCAAGCUCGGCAGAUUCUACACAGGCUCCAGUUGUGCUACCUCCACCUCCACCUCCCCCUAGGUUGCCACCGAACUCAAAUGAAAUGCAGGCUACUGACAAUACUGCUAUGGAUACUCCUGUUGUGAAAGAAGAUGCUAAAAUUCCAAGGUUCUUACCACCACCUCCACCGCAUCCAUCGCAGUUACUGCCUUUGCCUCCAAGGCCUCCAAUGAUGCCUCCAGUACAACCUGAUAUUCUAAGCCCAGGAAUGGUCAGAUUUCCUCCACCACCGUCACAACCAGAUUCAAGGCCACCAUUUAUUGCUCCUGGUGUUGCUGCCAGGCCCCCUCCACCUCCUCCAGCAUUACCUCCGGCUCAAAUGCCAAUGUCACCCUUUGGUGUACUUCCUGGUCCGUCAGCAAUGCUUAGGCCUCCAUUUUUUCCAGGACCCGAGUUUGCUGCUUUUGGCCCAAGGCCGCAGUUACCUCAGCAGCCAUCUUACGUCAAAUCGGCUGCUUCAACAGUUGUAAAGAGACCAUUAGCACAACAUACUCCUGAGCUAACAGCUAUGGUUCCUGCAUCAGUUCGAGUUAAGAGAGAAUCCGCUCUCCCUAAACCAAAACCAAAGGCGCAGCAGCAGCAGCAGCAGUCAUCAGCACCAUCAUAUUCUGCUCUGAAGCCUUCAGUAACCCCCAUAAAAUCUGCAGCCCAGCCUUCACCCUCAGCUUCUAAGCCACAAAGCAUUGAUGACUCCUACAUGGCAUUCCUGGAGGAUAUGAAGCAACUGGGUGCCCUCGAUGAGUAG